GACGAACGCUGGCGGCGUGCUUAAUACAUGCAAGUCAACUUGACUUUAGAUAGCAAUAUCGAAAAGUAGGGUGGCGCACGGGUGCGUAACGCGUAGGUAAUCUGCCUGAGGUCUGACAUAACCCGUCGAAAGGCGGGCUAACAUCAGAUGAUAUAUAGUCACGACAUCGUGGAAAUAUCAAAUCUUCGGAGCCUUGGGAUGAGCCUGCGUCUGAUUAGGUAGUUGGCGGAGUAAUAGCCCACCAAGCCUACGAUCAGUAGCUGGUCUGAGAGGAUGAUCAGCCACACUGGAACUGAGACA
rnacentral:rRNA from 1 species